UCCGGUUUGACACCGGCAGUCUCCCUAGAGUGCCCGGCAUAACCCGCUGGUAACUAGGGACGAGGGUUGCGCUCGUUGCGGGACUUAACCCAACAUCUCACGACACGAGCUGACGACAGCCAUGCAGCACCUGUGUGGGAAGCUUGAUUGCUCAAGAAGCACGAUCUCUCGUGCGGUCUUCCCCAUGUCAAGCCUUGGUAUGGUUCUUCGCGUUGCGUCGAAUUAAACCACAUGCUCCACCGCUUGUGCGGGCCCCCGUCAAUUCCUUUGAGUUUCAGUCUUGCGACCGUACUCCCCAGGCGGAAUACUUAACGCGUUAGCUACGGCUCUAGACCGUUGACGGGCCUAAAACCUAGUAUUCAUCGUUUAUGGCAUGGACUAC
rnacentral:misc_RNA from 1 species